rnacentral:rRNA from 1 species
GACGAACGCUGGCGGCGUGCUUAACACAUGCAAGUCGAACGGAAAGGCCCUGCUUUUGUGGGGUGCUCGAGUGGCGAACGGGUGAGUAACACGUGAGUAACCUGCCCCUGACUUUGGGAUAACUUCAGGAAACUAGGGCUAAUACCGGAUAGGAGCUCCUGCUGCAUGGUGGGGGUUGGAAAGUUUCGGCGGUUGGGGAUGGACUCGCGGCUUAUCAGCUUGUUGGUGGGGUAGUGGCUUACCAAGGCUUUGACGGGUAGCCGGCCUGAGAGGGUGACCGGCCACAUUGGGACUGAGAUACGGCCCAGACUCCUACGGGAGGCAGCAGUGGGGAAUAUUGCACAAUGGGCGGAAGCCUGAUGCAGCAACGCCGCGUGCGGGAUGACGGCCUUCGGGUUGUAAACCGCUUUCGCCUGUGACGAAGCGUGAGUGACGGUAAUGGGUAAAGAAGCACCGGCUAACUACGUG